CCUACGGGAGGCAGCAGUGGGGAAUAUUGCACAAUGGGGGAAACCCUGAUGCAGCGACGCCGCGUGAGCGAUGAAGUAUUUCGGUAUGUAAAGCUCUAUCAGCAGGGAAGAAAAUGACGGUGCCUGACUAAGAAGCCCCGGCUAACUACGUGCCAGCAGCCGCGGGAAUACGUAGGGGGCAAGCGUUAUCCGGAUUUACUGGGGGUAAAGGGAGCGUAGACGGGACUGCAAGCCAGGUGUGAAAGCCCGGGGCUCAACCCCGGGACUGCAUUUGGAACUGUAAGGCUAGAGUGUCGGAGAGGUAGGCGGAAUGCCUAGUGUAGCGGUGAAAUGCGUAGAUAUUAGGAGGAACACCAGUGGCGAAGGCGGCCUGCUGGACGAUGACUGACGUUGAGGCUCGAAAGCGUGGGGAGCGAACAGGAUUAGAUACCCCAGUAGUC
rnacentral:rRNA from 1 species